GAUGAAGAACGUAGCGAAAUGCGAUAAGUAGUGUGAAUUGCAGAAUUCAGUGAAUCAUCGAAUCUUUGAACGCACAUUGCGCCCUUUGGUAUUCCAAAGGGCAUGCCUGUUCGAGCGUCAUUUGUACCCUCAAGCUUUGCUUGGUGUUGGGCGUCUUGUCUCUAGCUUUGCUGGAGACUCGCCUUAAAGUAAUUGGCAGCCGGCCUACUGGUUUCGGAGCGCAGCACAAGUCGCACUCUCUAUCAGCAAAGGUCUAGCAUCCAUUAAGCCUUUUUUUCAACUUUUGACCUCGGAUCAGGUAGGGAUACCCGCUGAACUUAAGCAUAUUAAUAAGCGGAGGA
rnacentral:misc_RNA from 1 species